GAACUCCGAUUGCGAAGGCAGCUUGCUGGACCGUAACUGACGUUGAUGCUCGAAAGUGCGGGUAUCAAACAGGAUUAGAUACCCUGGUAGUCCGCACAGUAAACGAUGAAUACUCGCUGUUGGCGAUAUACUGCCAGCGGCCAAGCGAAAGCGUUAAGUAUUCCACCUGGGGAGUACGCCGGCAACGGUGAAACUCAAAGGAAUUGACGGGGGCCCGCACAAGCGGAGGAACAUGUGGUUUAAUUCGAUGAUACGCGAGGAACCUUACCCGGGCUUGAACUGCAGCGGAAUGAUUUGGAAACAGAUCAGCGAGCAAUCGCCGCUGUGGAGGUGCUGCAUGGUUGUCGUCAGCUCGUGCCGUGAGGUGUCGGCUUAAGUGCCAUAACGAGCGCAACCCUUACCGAUAGUUGCCAUCAGGUGACGCUGGGGACUCUAUCGGGACUGCCGUCGUAAGAUGUGAGGAAGGUGGGGAUGACGUCAAAUCAGCACGGCCCUUACGUCCGGGGCUACACACGUGUUACAAUGGGGGGUACAGCAGGCCGCUACCGGGCGACCGGAUGCCAAUCCCUAAAACCCCUCUCAGUUCGGACUGGAGUCUGCAACCCGACUCCACGAAGCUGGAUUCGCUAGUAAUCGCGCAUCAGCCACGGCGCGGUGAAUACGUUCCCGGGCCUUGUACACACCGCCCGUCAAGCCAUG
rnacentral:rRNA from 1 species